rnacentral:lncRNA from 1 species
GAACGCACAUCAAGUCACUGCAUAAAAUUCCUAUAACAUUCCUAAGGCAUAUAUUCAUGGUGUUAAGUUCUGCUUUGAAUUAACUGCUUCAUAUUUUUCAUUAAUAAAGAUAAUAGAGAUUGGCUUAUAUAUUUUUGAUCUGUAUAAUUUUGUAUAGUUAUCAAAAUGUCUCCAAGUAUUUUGCAAUAAAUGAUCACUUUGAGGCUUCAUGUUGGAUGAUGACUGUUUUAUUAGGUCCCACUUGAAUUUUGUUUAGAAUCCUCCUUUGAAUUAUGCAUCACUGGCAGGGUGCUGUGGCGAGCAAAAAGGAAUGACUAAGUGGCAGUGUCUCAUGGAGAGAGACUACAGAAGAAGUGCAUGCCUGCGCACACCUGCACCAUUAAUUCUGGUACUGGUGGUAAAUGAGAUUCAGUUACAGGCGCAGUGGGAGAGCAGGGGAGGAGAGAUUGCUUUCCUCGUGUCUGUGCUGCAGCAGACAGCAACUUUCCUGCAGUUUUCCUGACCCUUAGAAGAAACGGAGUAGCCAUCAUAGUCAACAAAAAAGUCUGAAGGCACUUUCAGACUUUCCAAGGCAAACCAUUAUACAUCACAAUAAUCCAAGUCUAUGC